GACGAACGCUGGCGGCGUGCCUAAUACAUGCAAGUCGAGCGGACUUUCAAGAAGCUUGCUUUUUGAAAGUUAGCGGCGGACGGGUGAGUAACACGUGGGCAACCUGCCUGUAAGACGGGGAUAACUCCGGGAAACCGGGGCUAAUACCGGAUAAUAUCUUUCAUCGCAUGAAGGAAGGUUGAAAGGCGGCGCAAGCUGGCGCUUGCAGAUGGGGCGGGGGCGCAUUAGCUAGUUGGUGAGGGAACGGCUCACCAAGGCGACGAUGCGUAGCCGACCUGAGAGGGUGAGCGGCCACACUGGGACUGAGACACGGCCCAGACUCCUACGGGAGGCAGCAGUAGGGAAUCUUCCGCAAUGGACGAAAGUCUGACGGAGCAACGCCGCGUGAGCGAAGAAGGUCUUCGGAUCGUAAAGCUCUGUUGUCAGGGAAGAACAAGUACCGUUCGAAUAGGGCGGUACCUUGACGGUACCUGACCAGAAAGCCACGGCUAACUACGUGCCAGCAGCCGCAGUAA
rnacentral:rRNA from 1 species